rnacentral:tRNA from 1 species
UAUAAAGUAAGCUAAAAAAGCUAUUGGGUUCAUACCCCAAACAUGAUUAUAUUUUCCUUUAUAA